AGAACUGAAGAUUCCUUCCAUGUUCCAAAAUAAUGUUUGCUGCAUAUCCCCUUCUCUUUGAGAAAGGAGUGUCUGAAAGGUCUCCUCAACUUCUGUCAGGGGUAGAAGGAAGAGCAUAACAAUUCUGUCUGUGUUUUCUCUUGCUUGGAGAGAGUGUCCAACUCCAUCAGCAUGCCAGGCCAGUGCUGUGGCCACUCUCGUUUGAUCAUCUCUACCAUAUUUGGGCACAGAAUGUCUUUAAUGUGGUUCUCUUCUUCCCAAAUACUCAGUGUUCCAUGACACUGGGCUUCAGAGGGGACUUCCAUCAAAACCUGGCAAUAUGCUCCAACAUCCAAAGGGCAAAGUGACCAUGGCAGCUCCUGUUUUCUCAGCCAACCUCAAGCUGUACAAGACACGGAUACUCUUUAAACUCUUCACAAAACUUGAAUGCUUCCUGUUGUUGGUGCUGGAUGGAGCUGGGUUCCGUCAUGACUGCCCCUGAUUCCCCAGCUUCACACUCAGUGUGUUCAUUUGCACCCAUUCCAUACUGGUGCCAGGAACACCACUCUCAUCUCAGAGCGCAAGGCAUGCACGGAUCCCUUAGCAGAACCACACAUGGAUCCUGCACCACAUCAGGGCUCUCUGAAUGCCUCUCCCCACCCAGAGCUUUCCCUGAUGAUUGAAAAGAGCUAAUCCAACAAAUGGCAUUAUCUCCUCUGAAUGGACCCCGUUUAUCACCUGGACAAGCCCAGAAACUUCAACCCCAAGCUUCUCUUUGUUGUAGCAACAGGCUUCCAGGAGUGUGCAGAGUGCUGGCUUUGCUGGAAUGUCUUUAAGCCACAUGCCUUACCCCAGCUUGGAGCUCAGUUUUGAUGCCAAGCCCCAUGCACCUGGCUGUCCAAGCAUAAGGAAAGAAAAAUCCAUCAUCCAGGGUUGUUUUAAAAAUAGUGUAGCUCUUUGAUUAAAUGGCUCAACAGCCCUGAAUCAAGCUUUCUUUGCUCUAGCCUGUGAUUUGUGCAACUGACCUGAUUUUAGUACAGGACUCUAAAUAUAAGAGGAAUGCAAUGAUUAUAAAAAUUCCUUAAAUUGGUAAGGAAGUGCAGUCACUGAUCAUACAUCUAUUAAGCAUGUGUUUGUGUUUGUGUGUGUGUGUGUGUGUGUGCAUGUGUGCAUAUAUGUGUUCCCACAAAUGCCUCAAAAGCCUUUAACUGCAAUAACACUUUUUGAUGAUGUCACCUAAAUUCUGGGUACAUGUUGUCAUAUGCUGAUAUUAAUAUAC
rnacentral:lncRNA from 1 species